rnacentral:rRNA from 1 species
CAGUCGCCGCGGUAAUACAGAGGGUGCGAGCGUUAAUCGGAUUUACUGGGCGUAAAGCGUGCGUAGGCGGCUAAUUGAGUCGGAUGUGAAAUCCCCGAGCUUAACUUGGGAAUUGCAUUCGAUACUGGUUAGCUAGAGUGUGGGAGAGGAUGGUAUAAUUCCAGGUGUAGCGGUGAAAUGCGUAGAGAUCUGGAGGAAUACCGAUGGCGAAGGCAGCCAUCUGGCCUAACACUGACGCUGAGGUACGAAAGCAUGGGGAGCAAACAGGAUUAGAUACCCCUGUAGUCCCUGUCUCUUAUAA